rnacentral:rRNA from 1 species
CGGACGGGUGAGUAAUGUAUGGGGAUCUGCCUGAUGGCGGGGGAUAACUACUGGAAACGGUAGCUAAUACCGCAUAAUGUCUACGGACCAAAGAGGGGACCUUCGGGCCUCGCGCCAUCAGAUGAACCCAUAUGGGAUUAGCUUGUAGGUAAGGUAACGGCUUACCUAGGCGACGAUCCCUAGCUGGUCUGAGAGGAUGAUCAGCCACACUGGGACUGAGACACGGCCCAG